AUGAACGCUGGCGGCGUGCCUAAUACAUGCAAGUCGAGCGAACAGACGAGGAGCUUGCUCCUCUGACGUUAGCGGCGGACGGGUGAGUAACACGUGGAUAACCUACCUAUAAGACUGGGAUAACUUCGGGAAACCGGAGCUAAUACCGGAUAAUAUAUUGAACCGCAUGGUUCAAUAGUGAAAGACGGUUUUGCUGUCACUUAUAGAUGGAUCCGCGCCGCAUUAGCUAGUUGGUAAGGUAACGGCUUACCAAGGCGACGAUGCGUAGCCGACCUGAGAGGGUGAUCGGCCACACUGGAACUGAGACACGGUCCAGACUCCUACGGGAGGCAGCAGUAGGGAAUCUUCCGCAAUGGGGGAAAGCCUGACGGAGCAACGCCGCGUGAGUGAUGAAGGUCUUCGGAUCGUAAAACUCUGUUAUUAGGGAAGAACAAAUGUGUAAGUAACUAUGCACGUCUUGACGGUACCUAAUCAGAAAGCCACGGCUAACUACGUG
rnacentral:rRNA from 1 species